rnacentral:lncRNA from 1 species
AGUGGGAGUCGGGCUUAUUUCAGCCCCUACGGACUUGGGGGUCGGAAUCGGAAGAAAGGGGGGAGGGCUAGCCGGUUAACCACCAGAAUCACGGAAAAGGGGUGAAGUGCCUCAGGCACGGGGGAAGGCGUUUAGUCUGGAACAUCGGGUGGCUGCCCUUGGGAAGACCUACUUUGACUCAUGAUGACUCCACCUAUACUCCUAGACCUGGGCAACCCUCAGAGCAGCACCAGAGUACACCAGUCUCUUGUCAAAACAGCAGCCUCUCCCAGAAACCCGCCUUAGUGACUGAGGCCACCUGGAGCAAGGGCCUGGCUAGAAGGAUGGGCAGAUUCUUAAACAAGACAGAUUGAGAAAAAUAAAGAUCAAAAGUGC